CUACGGGACGCUCCAGUGGGGAAUAUUGCACAAUGGGCGCAAGCCUGAUGCAGCAACGCCGCGUGAGGGAUGAAGGCCUUCGGGUUGUAAACCUCUUUUAGCAGGGAAGAAGCGAAAGUGACGGUACCUGCAGAAAAAGCACCGGCUAACUACGUGCCAGCAGCCGGGGUAAUACGUAGGGUGCAAGCGUUGUCCGGAAUUAUUGGGCGUAAAGAGCUCGUAGGCGGUUUGUCACGUCUGCUGUGAAAAUCCAAGGCUCAACCUUGGACUUGCAGUGGGUACGGGCAGGCUAGAGUGCGGUAGGGGAGAUGGGAAUUCCUGGUGUAGCGGUGGAAUGCGCAGAUAUCAGGAGGAACACCAAUGGCGAAGGCACAUCUCUGGGCCGUAACUGACGCUGAGGAGCGAAAGCGUGGGGAGCGAACAGGAUUAGAUACCCCUGUAGUC
rnacentral:rRNA from 1 species